GGCCGGAUGGUGAAGUAGUUUUAACACAGCGGUCCGCAAAACCGCCAUGCAUGGGUGCAAAUCCCAUUCCGGCCU
rnacentral:tRNA from 1 species